ensembl:lncRNA
CCCCGGCACCGCCCGCGCCGCGGGGCGAGGUGAGGUGAGCGCCCGCUCCUGCCAUGGCGGCGCUGCGGGACGUCUUUCGGCGGCCUUUCGGCGGCCCGCUCGCGGUGGGUUUCAGUUCCCCGGGCAGCGAGCCGACGGCAGCGGUGGUGUCUGUCAGCGCCUGUCCUGCGCCCCCGGCCUGCCGAAGAUCCCUUUGGAAGCGAAAAAACUGCUUUGAAGCAUCUAGGGGAAGCAGGCGGGAAUUUACUAUAAAUUCCUCACAGGUACAGCAGCUCUACAGAAGCAGCUUAAUUUCCUCCCGGCCGGCUGCAGGCAGUCAGCACAGCCACUCACCUCCGCGAGGCGCUGCCCCCCGAGCUCUGCUGCUGGCCGCGCUCGGUGCGGGACACGCGGUGCAGAAAGUGCCAUUUAGGAGUCUGCGCCAUACGGAUCGCGGGGCCAUUAUAAAGCCGGGCUGUGUCUGUGCUGUGUGUUCUCUGAGCUUGUUGGAGUGUCUGUGUUCACCUUUCUGUUUCGAGCGGUAGUGCGAAAAUCAUCGUUAACUUCAACACGUAUAAUUUGUGUUUCCUUUUCAGACCCUUUGUGGCGUAUCAUAAUGCUGGCCAAUCUCGUAUUUUUUCUUUGCCUGGCUAUUAAUGCUGCUUCUUAGCUUCUUCUCAUUCUCUAGUCAUACACGAUCCUGCCCCUCUGUGCUGUGGGGCCUCACCUGGAGUACUGCUUACAGAUGUGGAGUCCUCAGUACAGGAGAGACACGGACCUGUUGGAGGGUGUCCAGAGGAGGGCCACAAAAAUAAUCCCAGGGAUGGAACACCUCUCCUGUGAGGACAGGCUGGGAGAGCUGGGGCUGUUCAGCCUGGAGAAGGCACUGGGGAAACCUGAGAGUGGCCUUUCAGUAUCUAAAGGGGGGCUGUAAGAAGGAAGGGGACAGACUUUUUAGUAGGGUCUGUUGUGAAUUGGAAUUUCACACUUGGAAUUUCAUCACCCUAAUAGAAAUCAGGAGAGGGAAAUUGGUUUUGUGUGCCUCUGCAGAUGGUCAGCAGUGGACAGGACCCAGUGACAGACAUGGAAGAGUUUGGUGCUUCUGACAACUGCGGAGCGUCGCUGAGGAUCCCAGAGCUGUGACUGCAGUUUUCCAAUUCCCAGGCUGUCUUGGCAGUAGAGGAAAUGUGAAGAAGAGCUAUGUGUCAUUUGAAUAGUGCUGUCAUCUUACCAAUUACUACUAUAGCUGCUGUACACAGGUGUUGCAAGGUCAUACCUUCACCCAUCCGAGGCAAAGACAUGAUGUUAUCUGCCUGAAAAUAUCUGUCUGGGCAAUCCUUCAACAAGACUUCUCCCACACAUCAAUCCAACUUUCUUUUUUCUCCUGUAACUUCUUGCUUCUUUCAUGUUGCACAAGAGGUUCCCUAAAACAUUAAUUUUUCCUCCUCCAAAUUCCUACAGUAAGUACCACUUUGUCUACAAAAUCCUUCUCAGUAAUUAAGAAGCUCAUAUGUUACAACCUCUGCUUGGUAUGAUAAUUACCCUACUGCUAGCUCUCCCUGUUGACUGUGUUCAUCUUCCAUCCAUUGCCAUUAGCUUGAAUUGAAUAGAAUUUGGAGUGGUAUGAAGUGCCUCACACAGAGAAGAACCAGCAUUUUGAAGGGCCUGCAGGUGCUGCUACCUGAAGGUUAGUUUAACAACUGAAAAUACUCUAUCGUGAAUGGCCUCAAUAUAUCAUUCAGGUGGUAUUCUUAAAAUUAUAUUUUAAUAUCAAUUAAAAUGUGAAUAUCAGUUAUUUAAUGCAACCUAAAGGAAGUUUGUUUUGUUGAAAAAAAAAAAUGAUGAUCAGCCAUAGUUCUGGCCUGUAAUAAGUUCAAGUGUAUGAUGGCUUCCUGUGCUCAGGCUCACCAGGAAGGGGAAUCAGGACAGCGCACGUUGGCAGGUGGGAGUGUAAAUCCGGGUAGGAGGAGAACUCGUGUCAGGAAUGUGUCAAAUCAAUCUCUUCCAAGCGGGAUCCUCAAAAACCUAAAGGUUCAAAUUUGAAGUGUAUUCCACUCUGUGGAAAAAAAUAAUAAAUGAGAGCAUCAAUAUCUGCACUCUUCAGCUUUAAGCCUCCCAGGGGUACAGGCAAUCAGGCUGAUAAGUUGUAAUUUCACACCCUUUGCACCAGCUGCACUUAACUCAUCUGAUUUUUACCUAUGUCACCGGUAGCACCGCAGGGAAUUAGAAUGAAAGAACUAUUAAAAGCCUAAUGUAUUUUUUCGUAUGUAGGUUGUUUGCAUUUCUAAUGCCUAUUUUGAAGCCUUGUGUGAAGUGGAAAGUGGAGGUGAUAAUUCAUUAGCAAGCAAAAUCUAGAAGUAAGGUAUUAUGAAAAAAAAAAACCUUUUAUGGAGGGAAGAUGGAGAACUUAAUGCUCAAGGUAAACAGUUUCAAUUAGGAAGUUCUUUGAAGUAUGAUGAGAGCAGUCCAAAAAGAAUCAUACAGACUGCCAAAAUAAAGACCGAAAAACAUUGAAAUUUAUGGAGCUUUUAAGGGCCAUUAACUUAAAGGCCGUUGCCUUUCUUUUUUCUUUCCCCCAUUCUAUUUUAAGAAAUGGAAAGGUGUUUAUUUUUCCCUUGGUCAAUUAGUCUGCAAUAGGAGAAAGGUAGAGAGACAUAUUUUGUAGAUGCUAUGAGAAUUUUAGACAGAGAAAACUCUUCUUCUGACCGAGUUUCUCUCUUAAAAAAAUAAAGUAUAUUAAGAGCUGUAAACAGUCAGGAAUUGUGCUAUAUAUAUAUGUGUGUCUAGAAUGUUAGGUAAAACUUUAAUCACUGAAUUUGUGGGGUAACUGUGGAAUACAUUUAUACCUUUUGCUUCUCUGUUAGAAGUUUGGAAGUUAGAUGUCCUGUUGAUGGAAGCUGUUUAGAAGUUUGAUGCCUGAAGCUUGGCAGCACUGCACACAAAACAGGAUGUUGCUGCCCACAGGUCCAGUGUCUCUAUCUUUGAGUGGCAGCAUUUGAUUUUUGCAGGGACAGUAAAGAGCAAGUGUUGCAGGGACUUGGUGUCUGAGCUGGGGGGAUAAUUACAUAUUUCUGCCCCCACCCAUAAUUAUCUCAGGAGGCAUUUCACCUCCAGGGUUUGAAAGACCUUUCUGUGUACUGGCGCUAGCACAGUGUGGAUGGGAAGAGGAAAACAACCAAGGCAGCCUGCACACAGAGCCUGAAUUAUUACCUGCCAGUGGGGCCAGCAGCUCUCACUGCUCUCCCAAGGCUGCAGAGCAGCAGAGAUGCUGCAUGGUGCUGGGUGGGACCACCUCCUGCAGCACGGCUGCUGCCUCACAUGGAGGGGGUAGGGGGGGGCGAAGCAGGACACUGCAAAGAUGGAGGGAGAAAAUGAGCUGUGCUGCUGCUGUGUGUGUGCCUGCCAGCCCUGGCCGUGCCUGUUGUCACACUUGGUUUUCCAUAAAAUUUGAUUGUUUUUGAUCACCGUUAUUGGUGUGAAAUGUUGUACCCUAAUAAGCUACCAGCAAAAUGCCUGUUGUCCUUAGCCCAACUGGAUCUAGCCAUUUAAAAUGCUUUAGAAGUCACAGCAUAAAUAUCAAAUGUUGAUAGACGCAAAGAAAUAAACUCUGGCAAUACCUGUGGUAUGCCUUCAACCAUAGUGGUGAAUAACAUUAAAAUCUCACUGCCCAGCACUCGUACCAAAAAUCAGGAUGCCUGUGUUUGGCUCACUUGUAGGCUGUGGCAACAUCAUAGUGUUCCCUCUUCAUGUGCCUAAUUCUUCACAUAGUUUGAGGACAAUAUGAACCAGAAUACAUGCAGUCCUUCACCUGUCUAUCACUACCUUCUUUCCUGCUCUCGGGAGAUACUGUUGAUCCUUCUUUCUCUUACAGAUUUGUCCAAACUUGUUAGCACUGGCAAAAGUAAUCUCCAUUUCCUCCUGGCUACUUGACAAAAGGAGGACAACAAACUUCUCUCUGCUGACUAGGAAUACAGUAAACAUUCAUGAUUUCAAGUAUGGUGAUAAGAGCGUAUUGCACCACAGUGCCAUCUCAUAGCAGUUUGUUCAGCUGAGCAUUCACUGGGCCAGCACAUCACCACUGUCAGCAUGCAAAUAAGCUCUCCCAUGCAGCUGAGAAUGAAGGCCAGAAGCCUGAAAAUAACCCAGCAAAGCAUGCCUGUUGUAAGGAAUGAGAGGUACUUGCCAACUUUUAAUCACUGGGCUUAGUGACUGGCAUGACAACAUUUUUCUGAUGGGGAAAUUAUUUACAGGCAGUUGGAAGGUCAGGAGGCUGUCUGAAACACUCAAUGGCAAAAUUAGAGUUAGCCUUUCAGUCAACCAUGUUGCUCAGGUACCUGCUUGGUGUUCCAGUGUUAACGUGCAGUACAUUCGAAGUGCAGCCACCUUCACUGUAUGUUUCGGUGUACAAAAUUACCUUCUAAUUAAGAAAUAAGCACAGUGGUAGGGAGGAUUCCACUUUGAGUCUCAGCUUGGCUGUGAGACUCAGUGCAAGCCGUGUAGUGGGCUGUUAGAGUGGUUUGCUUGAUUCUGUUUCUUGUGUCAAACGUUUGUCAGUGUUGAUGAUGAAUAGUAGGGAAAAAUACUGAAUAAGCCCUAAGUGAUUAAUUAGAAUAUUAGUUUAGUAUUUCUGCUGCCAGACAGUCAUGCAGUCCCUGGCAUUACUGCUUAAGGUCUAAAAUGUUGAGAGAGGAAGAGGAAUUUCAAAUAUGUUUAUUCUUAUCCAGAUAAUCUCUGAAUUUAAACUCUAAUAAAGCUUUUCACCGGAAUGAGAUGUUAACUAGCCAAUACUUUAUUCACACUUCAGUUAAACAACGUUUACCUCGGUGAAAGGCACCCAAACUGUGCUACUCUGUGCUACCCUGUUUCUGUGGAAACUGUGUGUUGGAGUGGAAUAGGAAUAAUGGUGGAGAAAAGGAGAGCAGUAGCGUUUUGGCUGAAGUCCUGUUGGCCAGCCCCCGUUUCAGCUGGGAUAAGUCAGCCAAGCAAGGCCUCAGUGCUGGAGCCCCGACAGUUCUUUUUCCUCCUCCUCCUAACUUGUGCCGAGGGAGGAGUCUGCUUCACAGACACCAUUCAAAAAGUGCUUGCUAAAGCAAUUUAUCUGUAUUUUCCCCUGGUUUUUCAUGCAACAAGAAUUUUAGCCAGUCAGUAAUGUUAGUCAAUAGCUGCCUACACUGGUAGGGUAAGGUUUGUUCUGAAAAGAACUUCCAUUGACGCGUAUGUUACUCAGUCACUGCUCUUCUAAAAAGCACCACUGUAUUCUUGGAAAGAAACUCUCCCAAAACUGAAAAGACACAUUUUUCAUCAUUCAGGGGUUUCCAAAAUAUGCAUAUGUUUGAUGGAUUGCCAGGAAAGACAGACAGCCUUGACCAGUAAACUCAGCUCUGUAUUCUCUCUUCUCUGGUAGCUGUUUCACUGACAUUCAUGUUGUUUUCUCCUGGAAUAAGGUAUCUUUCUUAAAAAUAAAAUAUGAAUUAACAGAAAAAUAUAUUUUAUUGUUUUUUCUGUUGUUAUGAUUUCUGUUAAUCAGUGAUUGCCUGCUACCUGUGUGUGUGAGUCAGAGUGAAAAAUCUAACGUGGUGAAGUUGUGAUUGAUGUCUUAAUACUGUAGAAGUAUCUGGUAGGGGUGGGGGUCUAUUUCUUCCACAUACACACAAAAAAUGACUGGCUUCUGAUUGUAGUCUGAGGCUCUGGACUGGAGGACCAGGGCAUUUUGCUGCCUAGCCUCAGUAUACACACAUUGCUACAGAGGAUUGAAAGGCGUUGUGCAGCACUCAUGGUAACCAACAUUCUGUAAAGAAUUCUAAAUCACUGCAGGAGAGGAGACAACAGAAAAAGCAGUUUUCAAGAAUGGAGAGUAUGGGAGAAAAUCAAUUAAGGAAACAGCAUUAUCUUUUCAAAUUCAGGUGUAAGUGUGUGCAGACCCAAGAAUUUCAACAGUUUCUUACAGGUGGAAGCUAAAGGGAAGAGCCUAGAUCAUGGUGAUGUUGGCUGUACAUGUUCGUGCUUCUGUGUGGAAUCAGGGACACCUGCUUCUUGGUCUGCUGCUGCUUCAGCUUCUUGGUGAGACGUUAAAAUCUCUUCAAGUCUCUCUCUAGUCCCCUUUGUGUGCCAGAGUUGGCAGUAGAACAUGAGGAACUUUAACUGCAUCGGUUCAAGGAACCCUGUGGCCCUUUCCCAUUGUGUGCCUGUAGUGCAUUGUGCUAUACAUGAAAGAAGCAGGAAGGGAAUAGAGAGAAAAGCAGGCAGUUGGUAUCAGGCACUGGUGCUGCCUUCAGUCUUUUCUUUAGUAACGUUUCCAUAAACUACAGCUGAGUUGCAGUUCAACCGAACUUUUAAGUUCUGUUUGAUUUGUAACCCAUUCUACAUUU